GAUGAACGCUGGCGGCGUGCCUAAUACAUGCAAGUCGAGCGAACAGACAAGGAGCUUGCUCCUUUGACGUUAGCGGCGGACGGGUGAGUAACACGUGGGUAACCUACCUAUAAGACUGGGAUAACUUCGGGAAACCGGAGCUAAUACCGGAUAAUAUUUCGAACCGCAUGGUUCGAUAGUGAAAGAUGGUUUUGCUAUCACUUAUAGAUGGACCCGCGCCGUAUUAGCUAGUUGGUAAGGUAACGGCUUACCAAGGCGACGAUACGUAGCCGACCUGAGAGGGUGACCGGCCACACUGGAACUGAGACACGGUCCAGACUCCUACGGGAGGCAGCAGUAGGGAAUCUUCCGCAAUGGGCGAAAGCCUGACGGAGCAACGCCGCGUGAGUGAUGAAGGUCUUCGGAUCGUAAAACUCUGUUAUUAGGGAAGAACAUACGUGUAAGUAACUAUGCACGUCUUGACGGUACCUAAUCAGAAAGCCACGGCUAACUACGUGCCAGCAGCCGCGGUAAUACGUAGGUGGCAAGCGUUAUCCGGAAUUAUUGGGCGUAAAGCGCGCGUAGGCGGUUUUUUAAGUCUGAUGUGAAAGCCCACGGCUCAACCGUGGAGGGUCACUGGAAACUGGAAAACUUGAGUGCAGAAGAGGAAAGUGGAAUUCCAUGUGUAGCGGUGAAAUGCGCAGAGAUAUGGAGGAACACCAGUGGCGAAGGCGACUUUCUGGUCUGUAACUGACGCUGAUGUGCGAAAGCGUGGGGAUCAAACAGGAUUAGAUACCCUGGUAGUCCACGCCGUAAACGAUGAGUGCUAAGUGUUAGGGGGUUUCCGCCCCUUAGUGCUGCAGCUAACGCAUUAAGCACUCCGCCUGGGGAGUACGACCGCAAGGUUGAAACUCAAAGGAAUUGACGGGGACCCGCACAAGCGGUGGAGCAUGUGGUCUAAUUCGAAGCAACGCGAAGAACCUUACCAAAUCUUGACAUCCUUUGACAACUCUAGAGAUAGAGCCUUCCCCUUCGGGGGACAAAGUGACAGGUGGUGCAUGGUUGUCGUCAGCUCGUGUCGUGAGAUGUUGGGUUAAGUCCCGCAACGAGCGCAACCCUUAAGCUUAGUUGCCAUCAUUAAGUUGGGCACUCUAAGUUGACUGCCGGUGACAAACCGGAGGAAGGUGGGGAUGACGUCAAAUCAUCAUGCCCCUUAUGAUUUGGGCUACACACGUGCUACAAUGGACAAUACAAAGGGCAGCGAAACCGCGAGGUCAAGCAAAUCCCAUAAAGUUGUUCUCAGUUCGGAUUGUAGUCUGCAACUCGACUACAUGAAGCUGGAAUCGCUAGUAAUCGUAGAUCAGCAUGCUACGGUGAAUACGUUCCCGGGUCU
rnacentral:rRNA from 1 species